UGGCUUAUGCCUUGGAAGGUUUUUGCCAAUGCACAAGUGCAAAGUCCUUUCAUUUUCCUCCUGUAUCCUCAGUUGCGUACUAUAACAUUUGACUAUGUGUCGUGUUGGUCUCAAUGGGCUGGCACAGUACUACAGACUAUGGCUAAAGGCUAUGUUUACAAACAUAAAAUAAUGAUUCAAAGAAGAGGAGCAGACGGUGCUACGAUAUUUACCUCAAGGUGAUGAAUCAAUGAACCGAGGGACUUAUUAUUCGGGAAUCAUUGAAAAAAUGUCUUCUCAUCAAGGAUUGGAUUGUGUUCUCAUUAUAGAACAUAAUUUAUUAUGUGAGGCAUUUUCCAUUGCAACAUCUUGUCUAGGUAGGUCAUGCUUGGCAGAAUCGCCUCCUCCCGGUCUUCAGCACUCCUGCAGGAAUUGAGCGCCAGUGUGGUCGGGACACAUAGAACACCAACAAGCGAAAAAAACGCACCACUCCUAGGUCAUGCUUGGCAGAAUCGCCUCCUCCCGGUCUUCAGCACUCCUGCAGGAAUUGAGGGCCAGUGUGGUCGGGACACAUAGAACACCAACAAGCGACAAAAACGCACCACUCCAAUAUGCAGCCAGAGUUUGGGCAA